CCCUCAUGAGCGUGGAAUAUUGUUGACUGUUAAUCAGCGGGUCGCUGGUUCGAGUCCAGCAUCCGGAGCCA
rnacentral:tRNA from 1 species